rnacentral:miRNA from 1 species
AACUAAGUUUGUUAUUGGUAUGAGCUUUCAUGUGCAUGCACACUUCUUCAGAUACUUCUUCUUCAGUGUAUCUGAAGAAGUGUGCAUGCACACGAAAACUCAUACCAAUAACAAACAUAGUUG